rnacentral:rRNA from 1 species
CUACGGGACGCACCAGUGGGGAAUAUUGCACAAUGGAGGAAACUCUGAUGCAGCAACGCCGCGUGGAGGAUGACACUUUUCGGAGCGUAAACUCCUUUUAUAUAGGAAGAAGAUGACGGUACUAUAUGAAUAAGCGCCGGCUAACUCCGUGCCAGCAGCCGCGGUAAUACGGAGGGCGCAAGCGUUACUCGGAAUCACUGGGCGUAAAGAGCGUGUAGGCGGAUUAAAAAGUCAGAAGUGAAAUCCUAUAGCUUAACUAUAGAACUGCUUCUGAAACUCUUAAUCUAGAAUAUGGGAGAGGUAGAUGGAAUUUCUGGUGUAGGGGUAAAAUCCGUAGAGAUCAGAAGGAAUACCCAUUGCGAAGGCGAUCUGCUGGAACUUUACUGACGCUGAGGCGCGAAAGCGUGGGGAGCAAACAGGAUUAGAUACCCGGGUAGUC